rnacentral:lncRNA from 1 species
CCACUUGCUCUUUCGUUCUAUGAGCUUCCCAGUAGAUUAGUUCUCUUUUCUCACAAUCUUCUUGCCCUUGUAAAAAAUAUCUUCUGAGCCAUCUUCAUUCGCUGGUCUCCAAAAUCCCCUUUGAUCCAGGCACAAUAUCAAUGGCGUCUAGUCCAAGUGAAACCUCUCUUCUUGUACAAAAGUACCUGCACGAAUCACUCGCCUGCCGUAUAACUGCAUGCGCCAAAUAUUUGGUUUAUUAUUAAACGUCAUAAAAUCUUUUAUCUUUUAUAGAUUCAAUCAGAAAUUCAUGAUCAAGAAAAGAAAAAAAAACGAAACAAAAGAUCAAGUGUCUCACAGGAAUAUUCUCGUGGAUGCGACAAUUUGUCAAUGCCUUCCGUAUGCAUCAUUGUGUAGGGAAAUUGUAGCCUCAUCAUUUUGGGGUUCAAGUAAAUGGCAAUUUUCUGAUCAUCAGUUAACGAUUCCAUGGUCGCUCUGCUUCAAGAAACCGAGACAAGACUGCACAAGGUUUAAUAUUUUCUUGGAGACGAAGACUGGUCCUCUUUAUAUACACUUGCCUCUUAACAACUUAC